GAAUAGAUAAUAGAAAUUUUUCACACUAGGGACUUAACUUAAAAUAUAUUAUAAGAAAUUUUGUUUUUUUGUUUUUUUUUUUUUUUAUAAGGGAAAUAACAAUGAAAAGAAAGGUACAUACUUGAAGAAGGGAGGAUAGAAAGAACACGGUUUUCCCCCCCAUACUUAAAUGAAACAUUGUCCCCAAUGUUUCAAGGAAAUCAAAAGAAAUACAAAAAGAAAAGGAAAUUAAAUCAAUGCUGCCUUCCGCCUCUUGUUCUUGGACCUGGUGAUCGUUGACGUACUUCUAAGUCGUC
rnacentral:lncRNA from 1 species